rnacentral:rRNA from 1 species
AUUGAACGCUGGCGGCACGCUUAACACAUGCAAGUCGAGCGGUAACAUGACUAGUAGCAAUACUAGUUGAUGACGAGCGGCGGACGGGUGAGUAACACGUAGGAACUUGCCCAAUAGAGGGGGACAACCAAGGGAAACUUUGGCUAAUACCGCAUAUACUCGCGAGAGGAAAGCUGCCAGCAAUGGUGGCGCUAUUGGAGAGGCCUGCGUCCGAUUAGUUAGUUGGUGAGGUAAAGGCUACCCAAGGCGGGGAUCGGUAACUGGUCUGAGAGGACGACCAGUCACACUGGGACGGAGACACGGCCCAGACUCCUACGGGAGGCAGCAGUGGGGAAUCUUGGACAAUGGGGGCAACCCUGAUCCAGCGAUGCCGCGUGAGUGAAGAAGGCCUUCGGGUCGUAAAGCUCUUUAGUUCGGGAGGAAGGUUAGUAGUUUAAGAGAUAACUAAUUUGACUGUACCGAAGGAAUAAGCACCGGCAAACUCUGUGCCAGCCGCCGCCGUAA